UACGGAGGAUCCUAGUGUUAUCCGGAUUUAUUGGGUUUAAAGGGAGCGUAGGCGGGAGGUCAAGUCAGCUGUGAAAUGUAUCUGCUUAACGGGUACACUGCAGUUGAAACUGGUUUUCUUGAGUGCGUAAGAGGCAGGCGGAAUUCGUUGUGUAGCGGUGAAAUGCUUAGAUAUGACGAGGAACUCCUAUUGCGAAGGCAGCUUGCUAAACUACUACUGACGCUCAGGCACGAAGGCGUGGGGAUCAAACAGGAUUAGAUACCCUGGUA
rnacentral:rRNA from 1 species